AUGUGAUCGUCUCUCGCAUAUCAAUAAGCGGAGGAAAAGAAACUAACAAGGAUUCCCCUAGUAACGGCGAGUGAAGCGGGAAGAGCUCAAAUUUGAAAUCUUAAAGGGUUUCCCUUUACGAAUUGUAGUUUAAAGAAGUGUUUUCUGUUGAGGUUUUGGUAAAGGUUCUUUGGAAUAGGACAUCAUAGAGGGUGAGAAUCCCGUAUUUGACCUUUACUUUCAACUUUGUGAUACACUUUCAAAGAGUCGGAUUGUUUGGGAAUGCAGUCCAAAAUGGGUGGUAAAUUUCAUCUAAAGCUAAAUAUUGGCGAGAGACCGAUAGCGAACAAGUACCGUGAGGGAAAGAUGAAAAGAACUUUGAAAAGAGAGUUAAACAGUACGUGAAAUUGUCAAAAGGGAAGCGUUUGACACCAGUGUUGUUUUUCUGAAAAUCAAUUAAAGAACUGUUUAUGCUAAGUUGUUUAGACUUUAUCAGCUAACUGUUUAGUUUUGAGCUUUUCUUUAACGCACUUUUCAGUUAACAAGUCAACAUCAAUUUCUUUUGCUGUAAAAAAGCUUGAGGAAGGUGGCUUGAGAUUCGUCUUAAGUGUUUAUAGCCUCUUGCCUAUGCAGUCGGAGAGAUUGAGGUCUGCAGCGUAGAUCCUUCGGGGCUAAAUGCAUUUGUGCUAAGUUAUAGCAUUUUAUAGACAACUUGUUGACUAUGAUUUGUCUUGUAGCUUACUCGCUUAUGUUAUUUUACCUACGCUUAGGAUGUUGAAGACUCUACAGAGAUA
rnacentral:rRNA from 1 species